UGGGGAAUAUUGGACAAUGGGGGCAACCCUGAUCCAGCAAUGCCGCGUGUGUGAAGAAGGCCUGCGGGUUGUAAAGCACUUUCGUUUGGGAGGAAGUAUUUAAGCGGAAUAGCACUGAAUAUUGACGUUACCGAAAGAAGAAGCACCGGCUAACUCCGUGCCAGCAGCCGCGGUAAUACGGAGGGUGCAAGCGUUAAUCGGAAUUACUGGGCGUAAAGGGCGCGUAGGUGGUUGCAUAAGUUAGCUGUAAAAUUCCUGGGCUUAACCUGGGGUGGUCAGCUAAUACUGUGUAACUGGAGUACGAGAGAGGGUAGUGGAAUUUCCGGUGUAGCGGUGAAAUGCGUAGAUAUCGGAAGGAACACCAGUGGCGAAGGCGACUACCUGGCUCGAUACUGACACUGAGGCGCGAAAGCGUGGGGAGCAAACAGGAUUAGAUACCCCUGUAGUCC
rnacentral:rRNA from 1 species